ACCUGGCUGAGCUCUUGCUCUGCAGGCAGGCUUUUAUGAGAACGAUAACGAACAACUCCACCAUGCUGGGAUGCUUUAGAAAACCAUCUUGACUGAAUGAGGCACAGCUAAUGGGCCUGUGGUAUUUAAUGCCAGUUAUCUCAGGAAAAUUGAAACUCCACUAAAGAUUUCAUGUUCCAAGUGCAAACUUUUUAUUUUCCUAGGAAUCACAGAAUAUAUUCAUCUUUAAGUCAAGGAUCAAAGUUUGCAGAAAGAGCAUCUAGUUGGCCUAGACUGGGGCACAACUUCCAGGUGAUCGUAUGGGAUGGUGAGAGGGAAGAAUCUUCCAGAAAGAGGUUGCAGGCCCCAUUGAAACUUCCCUACUGGAAUGCAUUGUCCUUUGACCAUGACUACUCAGCCUGAUGGAGAAGUAAUUGUUCAAAAGGAAAUUGGCGUGUUCUGUGGAAGGGAGAAUGGAAAUAGAGGCCAAAUAAAUGUCUAUUCACGGGCCUGGCUGGAGAAUGG
rnacentral:lncRNA from 1 species